rnacentral:tRNA from 1 species
GCCCCCGUAGCUCAGGUGGAUAGAGCGCCAGAUUCCUAAUCUGUAGGUCGCGUGUUCGAGUCACGCCGGGGGCA